rnacentral:rRNA from 1 species
AUGAGACCCAUUAUCGCUUCAAAGGUUGAUCCACCUCAGAUGGUGGCGGAGCUAAUUGAUCAUGAUAAUGCAUGCUGGAACACAACAUUGCUCAAUCAGAUUUUCUUACCAUAUGGUAUAACAACUAUUCUGAAUGUGCCGAUCUGUACAAGGAACAUGGAAGAUUUCUGGUCAUGGGGUUUUCAAAGGAAUGGAAUUUUCUCCGUUCGCUCUGCUUACAGAAUGAUCGUGGGCAUAAAGAGGAGGCGUGAGGACUGGCUGGAAGGACGAGGGGGAUCCUCUAAUACGGCAGCAAACGAGCAGGCCUGGGAUACAUUAUGGAGAGUGCAGGUUCCGGCGAAGCAGAAAAAUUUUCUCUGGAGACUGGCUGAAAACUCGCUACCUACUGAAGAUGUUUGA